rnacentral:rRNA from 1 species
GACGAACGCUGGCGGCGUGCUUAACACAUGCAAGUCGAACGGUAAGGCCCUUCGGGGUACACGAGUGGCGAACGGGUGAGUAACACGUGGGUGAUCUGCCCUGCGCUUCGGGAUAAGCCUGGGAAACUGGGUCUAAUACCGGAUAGGACCACUGCCUGCAUGGGUGGUGGUGGAAAGCUUUUGCGGUGUGGGAUGGGCCCGCGGCCUAUCCACUUGUUGGUGGGGUGAUGGCCUACCAAGGCGACGACGGGUAGCCGGCCUGAGAGGGUGACCGGCCACACUGGGACUGAGAUACGGCCCAGACUCCUACGGGAGGCAGCAGUGGGGAAUAUUGCACAAUGGGCGCAAGCCUGAUGCAGCGACGCCACGUGAGGGAUGACGGCCUUCGGGUUGUAAACCUCUUUCAGCACCGACGAAGCGCAAGUGACGGUAGGUGCAGAAGAAGGACCGGCCAACUACGUGCCAGCCGCCGCAGUAA